UACGUAGGGGGCGAGCGUUGUCCGGAAUUAUUGGGCGUAAAGAGCUCGUAGGCGGUUAGUCGCGUCUGCUGUGAAAACUCGGGGCUUAACUCCGGGCCUGCAGUGGGUACGGGCUGACUAGAGUGCGGUAGGGGAGACUGGAAUUCCUGGUGUAGCGGUGAAAUGCGCAGAUAUCAGGAGGAACACCGGUGGCGAAGGCGGGUCUCUGGGCCGUAACUGACGCUGAGGAGCGAAAGCGUGGGGAGCGAACAGG
rnacentral:rRNA from 1 species